ACGGAAGGCAGCAGUGGGGGAUAUUGGGCAAUGGGCGAAAGCCUGACCCAGCAACGCCGCGUGAAGGAAGAAGGCCUUCGGGUUGUAAACUUCUUUUAUAGAGGACGAAGAAAGUGACGGUACUCUAUGAAUAAGCCACGGCUAACUACGUGCCAGCAGCCGCGGUAAUACGUAGGUGGCAAGCGUUAUCCGGAUUUACUGGGUGUAAAGGGCGCGUAGGCGGGAAAGCAAGUCAGAUGUGAAAUCCAGGGGCUCAACUCCUGAACUGCAUUUGAAACUGUUUUUCUUGAGUGUCGGAGAGGUAGAUGGAAUUCCUAGUGUAGCGGUGAAAUGCGUAGAUAUUAGGAGGAACACCAGUGGCGAAGGCGAUCUACUGGACGAUAACUGACGCUGAGGCGCGAAAGCGUGGGGAGCAAACAGGAUUAGAUACCCUGGUA
rnacentral:rRNA from 1 species